GCAAGUCGAACGGAGUAAUAAUUUGCUUGCAAAUUAUUGCUUAGUGGCGGACGGGUGAGUAACGCGUAGGAAUCUGCCUUAUGGUGGGGGACAACAGUUGGAAACGGCUGCUAAUACCGCAUAUUAUUUUCGAAUAAAAGGUGGCACUUAGGUGCUGUCGCCAUGAGAUGAGCCUGCGUUGGAUUAGCUAGUUGGUGGGGUAAUUGCUUACCAAGGCUGUGAUCCAGAGCUGGUCUGAGAGGAAGAGC
rnacentral:rRNA from 1 species